ACGGGAGGCAGCAGUGGGGAAUAUUGGGCAAUGGGCGCAAGCCUGACCCAGCAAUGCCGCGUGAAGGAAGAAGGCUUUCGGGUUGUAAACUUCUUUUAUGAGGGACGAAGGAAUUGACGGUACCUCAUGAAUAAGCCACGGCUAACUACGUGCCAGCAGCCGCGGUAAUACGUAGGUGGCAAGCGUUAUCCGGAUUUACUGGGUGUAAAGGGCGCGUAGGCGGGGAAGCAAGUCAGAUGUGAAAUCCAUGGGCUCAACUCAUGAACUGCGUUUGAAACUGUUUUUCUUGAGUGUCGGAGAGGUAGAUGGAAUUCCUAGUGUAGCAGUGAAAUGCGUAGAUAUUAGGAAGAACACCAGUGGCGAAGGCGAUCUACUGGACGAUAACUGACGCUGAGGCGCGAAAGCGUGGGGAGCAAACAGGAUUAGAUACCCUGGUA
rnacentral:rRNA from 1 species